AACGAACGCUGGCGGCAGGCCUAACACAUGCAAGUCGAGCGGGUCCUUCGGGACUAGCGGCGGACGGGUUAGUAACGCGUGGGAACGUGCCCAAAGGUACGGAAUAGCCUCGGGAAACUGAGAGUAAUACCGUAUGUGCCCCUCGGGGGAAAGAUUUAUCGCCUUUGGAUCGGCCCGCGUCGGAUUAGGUAGUUGGUGGGGUAAUGGCCUAGCAAGCCGACGAUCUAUAGCUGGUUUGAGAGGAUGAUAAGCAACACUGGGACUGAGACACGGCCCAGACUCCUACGGGAGGCAGCAGUGGGGAAUCUUAGACAAGGGGGGAAACCCUGAUCUAGCCAUGCCGCGUGGACGAUGAAGGCCUUAGGGUUGUAAAGUCCUUUCAGCUGGGAAGAUAAUGACGGUACCUGAAGAAUAAGCACCGGCUAACUACGUGCCAGCCGCCGCGGUAAAAC
rnacentral:rRNA from 1 species